rnacentral:rRNA from 1 species
CCCUUAGAUGUUCUGGGCCGCACGCGCGCUACACUGAUGCAUUCAACGAGCCUAUCCUUGACCGACAGGUCCGGGUAAUCUUUGAAUCUGCGUCGUGAUGGGGAUAGAUUAUUGCAAUUAUUAAUCUUCAACGAGGAAUGCCUAGUAAGCGCAAGUCAUCAGCUUGCGUUGAUUACGUCCCUGCCCUUUGUACACACCGCCCGUCGCUCCUACCGAUUGAAUGCUCAGGUGAGCCAUUCGGACUUUCAUCAUGCUGGUUUCCAGUUUUGAUGAAGGAAAGUCUUGCGAACCUUAUCAUUUAGAGGAAGGAGAAGUCGUAACA